AUUCAAUUUCAUGUCUAGGGAUCGGUCUGUUCAGUUGAUCUAUUUCUUCUUGAUUCAGUUUUGGCAGGCUGUAAGAUUCUAGAAAAUCGUCCAUUUCUUCUAAGUUGUCAAAUUUGUUGGCAUACAAUUGCUCAUAGUAUUCUCUCAUGGUUUUUUGUAUUUCUGUAGUAUCCAUUGUGACUUCUCCUUUUGCAUUUCUGAUUUUUUUAUUCGGGAUUUUUCCUCUCCUCUUCUUGGUGAGUCUGGCCAGAGGUUUGUCAAUUUUGUAUACCUUUUCUAAGAAGCAGCUCUUGGUUUUAUCGAUUUUUUGAAUCUCUAUUUUAUUGAUUUCCUCUUUGAUCUUUAUGAUUUCCUUCCUUCUGCUGACUUUAAUUUUUGAUUGUUUUUCUUUAUCUAAUUCAUUUAGGUGGUGGGUUAAGGUGUCAAUUUGAGAUUUUUCUUCUUUUUUUUGAGGAAGGCCUGUAUUGCUAUGUAUUUCCCUCUGAGCACUGCUUUUGCAUCAUCUCAUAGAUUUUGAGUGGUUGUGUCUUCAUUAUCAUUUGUUUCAAGGUAGUUUUUAAUUUCCUUCUUGAUUUCCUCAUUGACCCAUUGGUUUUUUAGUAGCAUGUUGUUUAGUCUCCAUGUAGUAGGUUUUUUCUCUUUCCUUUUCCCAUGGUUGAUUUCUAAUUUCAUGGCAUUGUGGUCAGAGAAGAUACUUGAGAUAAUUUCUAUGCUCCUAAAUUUAUUGAGAUUCGCUUUGUGUCCCAAUAUGUGGUCGAUUCUUGAGAAUGUUCCAUGAGCAUUUGAGAAGAAUGUGUAUUCUGCUUUUUUUGGAUGUAGUGUCCUGAAGAUAUCAAUUAAGUCUAACUUUUCUAUUGUUUCCUUUAGGAUCUCUGUUGCUUUAUUGGUUUUCUGUCUAGAGGAUCUGUCCAUUGAUGUGAGGGGGGUAUUUAGGUCUCCUACUAUGAUUGUAUUCUCAUCAAUAUCUCCCUUUAUGUCUGUUAAUAUUUGUUGUAUGUAUCUGGGUGCUCCUAUAUUUGGGGCAUAUAUGUUGAUGAUAGUAACAUCCUCUCCUUGGAUGGAUCCCUUAAUCAUUAAAUAGUGUCCUUCUUUGUCUUUCUUUAUGUCUUUUGUUUUAAAGUCUAUUUUGUCUGAUAUGAGCGUUGCGACUCCUGCUUUUCUGUCAUGUCUAUUGGCAUGAAAUAUUUUUCCCCACCCUUUCACUUUCAAUCUAUAUGUAUCUUUUGUCCUAAGGUGAGUUUCUUGUAGGCAGCAUAUUGAAGGUUUUUGCCUUUUUAUCCACUCAGCCACUCUGUGUCUUUUGAUUGGGGCAUUCAGUCCAUUGACAUUUAAGGUGAUAAUUGAUAGAUGAUUAUUUAUUGCCAUUUGAACCUCGUGUUCCAGUUGAUUCUAUGGUUCUCCAUUCUUCCUUUCUUUUUUUUUUUUUUUUUUUUUUGGUUGGAUGGUCUCCUGUUAUUAUCUGCUUGAGUGUAUUUUUUUUUUCAUUUUUUGCAAAUGCAAUAUUUGGUUUUGGCUUGUGGUUGCCCUGUUUUUUAAGUAUGCUAACCCCUUCCCAUAAUUGUGUGUUUUAGCCUGAUGGUCCUGUAAGUUCAAACACUUCAUUAC
rnacentral:lncRNA from 1 species